CCCCGCUUGCGGGGGGAUUAGUGGCGAACGGGUGAGUAACACGUGAGUAACCUGCCCUUAACUCUGGGAUAAGCCUGGGAAACUGGGUCUAAUACUGGAUAUUGACUUUUCACCGCAUGGUGUUUGGUUGAAAGAUUUAUUGGUUUUGGAUGGACUCGCGGCCUAUCAGCUUGUUGGUGGGGUAAUGGCCUACCAAGGCGACGACGGGUAGCCGGCCUGAGAGGGUGACCGGCCACACUGGGACUGAGACACGGCCCAGACUCCUACGGGAGGCAGCAGUGGGGAAUAUUGCACAAUGGGCGCAAGCCUGAUGCAGCGACGCCGCGUGAGGGAUGACGGCCUUCGGGUUGUAAACCUCUUUCAGUAGGGAACAAGGCCAUCUUUUGGGUGGUUGAGGGUACUUGCAGAAGAAGCGCCGGCUAACUACGUGCCAGCAGCCGCGGUAAUACGUAGGGCGCAAGCGUUAUCCGGAAUUAUUGGGCGUAAAGAGCUCGUAGGCGGUUUGUCGCGUCUGCCGUGAAAGUCCGGGGCUCAACUCCGGAUCUGCGGUGGGUACGGGCAGACUAGAGUGAUGUAGGGGAGACUGGAAUUCCUGGUGUAGCGGUG
rnacentral:rRNA from 1 species